CUGGCUUCGACUGUUUGGAAUAUUUGGAAGAAAAGCAUGCGAGAGUGUUCCACUCUGACGGAACAUGGCAAUUUAACUGCCGACAAUAACGAUUUCGCACUGGCUGCAUAAGCCUAUGCCCAAUUAGAUUCUUCGCUCUUUGAGAUAAUAAUUGGCUAACCUUUAGAGGAGAUCGGGAAUGUGAAGUGACGGCACAUUUCUUAAACUUUGUCACUGGAAAUCAGGAAGCUUGAUUGUUGACUAACCUGGUUUUGAGACAAUACAAUAAUCUGAGCAUGGAGAAAGCUUUCAGGUAACCGGCAGGACGCGGGUUCG
rnacentral:tmRNA from 1 species